rnacentral:tRNA from 1 species
UGCGGGAUCGUCUAAUGGUAGGACAUCAGCUUUUGGAGCUGACUAUCUAGGUUCGAGUCCUAGUCCCGCAG